rnacentral:rRNA from 1 species
AACGACUCUCGGCAACGGAUAUCUCGGCUCUCGCAUCGAUGAAGAACGUANCGAAAUGCGAUACUUGGUGUGAAUUGCAGAAUCCCGUGAACCAUCGAGUCUUUGAACGCAAGUUGCGCCCGAAGCCGUUAGGCUGAGGGCACGUCUGCCUGGGCGUCACGCA